rnacentral:rRNA from 1 species
UACAGAGGGGGCGAGCGUUGCUCGGAAUUACUGGGCGUAAAGCGCAUGUAGGCGGAUCCAUAAGUCGGGCGUGAAAUCCCCAGGCUCAACCUGGGAACUGCGCUCGAAACUGUAGGUCUUGAGUGUCGGAGAGGAUGGCGGAAUUCCUGGUGUAGAGGUGAAAUUCGUAGAUAUCAGGAGGAACACCGGUGGCGAAGGCGGCCAUCUGGACGACAACUGACGCUGAGAUGCGAAAGCGUGGGGAGCAAACAGG